CGCACAUUGCGCCCUUUGGUAUUCCGAAGGGCAUGCCUGUUCGAGCGUCAUUAUCACCUCUCAAGCCUGGCUUGUUGUUGGAUUAGGUCUUGCUUUAAGCAUAACCGGUCCCAAAGAUAAUGACGGCGUCUGUGAGGACCCCAGUACACUGAGCUUUCUAAGCACGUAUUAGGUGGAAGUCCAGGCCCGGUCUUACUUAUGUUUUUCUAAGGUUGACCUCGGAUCAGGUAGGAAUACCCGCUGAACUUAA
rnacentral:misc_RNA from 1 species